UACGUAGGGGCAAGCGUUGUCCGGAAUCAUUGGGCGUAAAGAGCGUGUAGGCGGCUCGAUAAGUCUGCUGUGAAAGUCCAGGGCUCAACCCUCGAAUGCCGGUGGAUACUGUCGGGCUUGAGUACGGGAGAGGCGAGUGGAAUUCCUGGUGUAGCGGUGAAAUGCGCAGAUAUCAAGGAGGAACACCGGUGGCGAAGGCGGGUCUCUGGGCAACUACUGACGCUGAGGAGCGAAAGCGUGGGGAGCGAACAGG
rnacentral:rRNA from 1 species